UCAUUUGGAAACAGAUGCUAAUACCGCAUAAAUCCAAGAACCGCAUGGUUCUUGGCUGAAAGAUGGCGUAAGCUAUCGCUUUUGGAUGGACCCGCGGCGUAUUAGCUAGUUGGUGAGGUAACGGCUCACCAAGGCAAUGAUACGUAGCCGAACUGAGAGGUUGAUCGGCCACAUUGGGACUGAGACACGGCCCAAACUCCUACGGGAGGCAGCAGUAGGGAAUCUUCCACAAUGGACGCAAGUCUGAUGGAGCAACGCCGCGUGAGUGAAGAAGGCUUUCGGGUCGUAAAACUCUGUUGUUGGAGAAGAAUGGUCGGCAGAGUAACUGUUGUCGGCGUGACGGUAUCCAACCAGAAAGCCACGGCUAACUACGUGCCAGCAGCCGCGGUAAUACGUAGGUGGCAAGCGUUAUCCGGAUUUAUUGGGCGUAAAGCGAGCGCAGGCGGUUUUUUAAGUCUGAUGUGAAAGCCCUCGGCUUAACCGAGGAAGUGCAUCGGAAACUGGGAAACUUGAGUGCAGAAGAGGACAGUGGAACUCCAUGUGUAGCGGUGAAAUGCGUAGAUAUAUGGAAGAACACCAGUGGCGAAGGCGGCUGUCUGGUCUGUAACUGACGCUGAGGCUCGAAAGCAUGGGUAGCGAACAGGAUUAGAUACCCUGGUAGUCCAUGCCGUAAACGAUGAAUGCUAGGUGUUGGAGGGUUUCCGCCCUUCAGUGCCGCAGCUAACGCAUUAAGCAUUCCGCCUGGGGAGUACGACCGCAAGGUUGAAACUCAAAGGAAUUGACGGGGGCCCGCACAAGCGGUGGAGCAUGUGGUUUAAUUCGAAGCAACGCGAAGAACCUUACCAGGUCUUGACAUCUUUUGAUCACCUGAGAGAUCAGGUUUCCCCUUCGGGGGCAAAAUGACAGGUGGUGCAUGGUUGUCGUCAGCUCGUGUCGUGAGAUGUUGGGUUAAGUCCCGCAACGAGCGCAACCCUUAUGACUAGUUGCCAGCAUUUAGUUGGGCACUCUAGUAAGACUGCCGGUGACAAACCGGAGGAAGGUGGGGAUGACGUCAAAUCAUCAUGCCCCUUAUGACCUGGGCUACACACGUGCUACAAUGGAUGGUACAACGAGUUGCGAGACCGCGAGGUCAAGCUAAUCUCUUAAAGCCAUUCUCAGUUCGGACUGUAGGCUGCAACUCGCCUACACGAAGUCGGAAUCGCUAGUAAUCGCGGAUCAGCACGCCGCGGUGAAUACGUUCCCGGGCCUUGUACACACCGCCCGUCACACCAUGAGAGUUUGUAACA
rnacentral:rRNA from 2 species